UUGAUCCUGGCUCACGACGAACGCUGGCGGCGUGCCUAACACAUGCAAGUCGAGCGAGUGGAGUUCUUCGGAACAAAGCUAGCGGCGGACGGGUGAGUAACACGUGGGCAACCUGCCUCAUAGAGGGGAAUAGCCUCCCGAAAGGGAGAUUAAUACCGCAUAAGAUUGUAGCUUCGCAUGAAGUAGCAAUUAAAGGAGCAAUCCGCUAUGAGAUGGGCCCGCGGCGCAUUAGCUAGUUGGUGGGGUAACGGCUCACCAAGGCGACGAUGCGUAGCCGACCUGAGAGGGUGAUCGGCCACAUUGGGACUGAGACACGGCCCAGACUCCUACGGGAGGCAGCAGUGGGGAAUAUCGCACAAUGGGGGAAACCCUGAUGCAGCAACGCCGCGUGAGUGAUGACGGCCUUCGGGUUGUAAAGCUCUGUCUUCAGGGACGAUAAUGACGGUACCUGAGGAGGAAGCCACGGCUAACUACGUGCCAGCAGCCGCGGUAAUACGUAGGUGGCGAGCGUUGUCCGGAUUUACUGGGCGUAAAGGGAGCGUAGGCGGACUUUUAAGUGAGAUGUGAAAUACCCGGGCUCAACUUGGGUGCUGCAUUUCAAACUGGAAGUCUAGAGUGCAGGAGAGGAGAAUGGAAUUCCUAGUGUAGCGGUGAAAUGCGUAGAGAUUAGGAAGAACACCAGUGGCGAAGGCGAUUCUCUGGACUGUAACUGACGCUGAGGCUCGAAAGCGUGGGGGAGCAACAGGAUUAGAUACCCUGGUAGUCGCACGCCGUAAACGAUGAAUACUAGGUGUAGGGGUUGUCAUGACUCCUGGACCGCCGUAGACGCAUUAAGUAUUCCGCCUGGGGAGUACGGUCGCAAGAUUAAUACUCAAAGGAAUUGACGGGGGCCCGCACAAGCAGCGGAGCAUGUGGUUUAGUUCGAAGCAACGCGAAGAACCUUACCUAGACUUGACAUCUCCUGCAUUACCCUUAAUCGGGGAAGUUCCUUCGGGGACAGGAAGACAGGUGGUGCAUGGUUGUCGUCAGCUCGUGUCGUGAGAUGUUGGGUUAAGUCCCGCAACGAGCGCAACCCUUAUUGUUAGUUGCUACCAUUUAGUUGAGCACUCUAGCGAGACUGCCCGGGUUAACCGGGAGGAAGGUGGGGAUGACGUCAAAUCAUCAUGCCCCUUAUGUCUAGGGCUACACACGUGCUACAAUGGCAAGUACAAAGAGAAGCAAGACCGCGAGGUGGAGCAAAACUCAAAAACUUGUCUCAGUUCGGAUUGUAGGCUGAAACUCGCCUACAUGAAGCUGGAGUUGCUAGUAAUCGCGAAUCAGCAUGUCGCGGUGAAUACGUUC
rnacentral:rRNA from 1 species